rnacentral:misc_RNA from 1 species
AGAUGAAGAACGCAGCGAAAUGCGAUAAGUAAUGUGAAUUGCGGAAUUCAGUGAAUCAUCGAAUCUUUGAACGCACAUUGCGCCCCCUGGUAUUCCGGGGGGCAUGCCUGUCCGAGCGUCAUUACAACCCUCAAGCUCAGCUUGGUGUUGGGCCCCGCCGCCCCGGCGGGCCCUAAAGUCAGUGGCGGUGCCGUCCGGCUCCGAGCGUAGUAAUUCUUCUCGCUCUGGAGGUCCGGUCGUGUGCUCGCCAGCAACCCCCAAUUUUUUUCAGGUUGACCUCGGAUCAGGUAGGGAUACCCGCUGAACUUAAGCAUAUCAAUAAGCGGAGGA